UCCUGGGCAUUUUGGUUACUUCCGUUAUGGCCCAGGAUGCAAGGGGAACGUGUGAACUGAGCAUCGGUUCUCCGGCUCCGGUUGUUAUUAGCAAUUUUGGCUCCCAGCGUUUAUUGUUCGAUUCCGUGCGAAAAUUAGAACGGGAAAAUUACCAGACCAUUGACCUUUUCUGCGCGAGCGGAUUUUCCAUAGACUAUUACAACUAUUACAACAACCAGAUCUCGACUACAAUCAAAGCGACUAAACUUACAAUGACCUGCGACCCUAUUCAUCGGUUUACCUAUAAAGAUGGCAUAAAAGAUGUAAUUAGUGUUCGGUGUCUGGAGGUCGGCCCUCAGUUGUUUGAGAGCAUGAACAAAUUGCCAAAUUGCACGGGCAUGACUCUAGUUGUCGGAAGAAAAUUCGAUGGCAUUGGUUUAAUAAAAUAUUCAGCAUUGUGCUAUGAUUUGGCCGCAUUUCAAUUGAAAUAUAUUGGUUAUACCACAAAUUUCAAUAAUAUCCAGAUUUUCCCAGAGACCCAAUUGGGACAACUUAACGAUAUCGGACUUGAUACUCCUAUCAGUUACCAAAAAAAUCUAUUCGAGACCAUCAGCAAGAGUGAACUUGAUGCGUACUUGGCAAAGGAGAAGCAGUUGUUCACGGAGGACACUUUUCAGGUUGGCAGUUUGGUCCAGGAUGAGAUGGUUAGUAGACACUUGGUUGUCUACGAGGACUUGCUGACCACCGUCUGGUUGGAGGUUCUGCGUUCCGGCAACUGGAAGCAUUGGACGAAGGCAAUGCGUGAUGCCAUCGGUGUCCACUUCGACAUUCGUUUGGGUGUUUCCGGAACCGUGAAGCUGCCGACGUUCGCCGGGCAAUCAUGCAACGGAAGCCGAUCGCUCAACAUUGAACUGAUUGGUGGCAAAUUCCUGCCCAUUCCCGCCCACAUUUGGGCCCAUGUUCACGCUGUGGAAAAGUCCGGUACCGGACAGGAUGAGUUCGUCAUCAUUGGACACAACUCGCCCUUCUAUCGCAGUGACUUAAGCAAUCUGUGCCCCUCGAUGUGCAACCAAGUGUCCUGGCUGAGGAACACCCUCUUCUCCAGACUCCACGAGUUUCCCGCCUUUGGAAUGGUGCAGUGCUGCCGUGUGGAGGAUGUGGCCCACAAACUGGACAAUUUUCCCGGUCCCUUUGAGAAUGAAAAUAUGAAUGUCAGCAGGACAACCGAGGCUACCACAAUAUAAACAGUUCCCUUUAUAUUAUCCCUCUGUUCCAACAAAUAUGGGACUCUUUGUGUACAUGCAAUUUGUAUAAAGCGCCUUUUAAUGCAUUAAAAUGCAUUU
ensembl:lncRNA